GUGAAUCAUCAAAUUUUUGAACGCAAAUUGCACUUUCUGGUAUGCCGGAAAGUAUGCCUGUUUGAGGGUCAGUUAAAUAAAAAUCGGUGUUGUUGCUGCCUUUCGUGGUGACGCGGCGGAAUUGAGUUGUCUUACCUUCGGUUAAGUUACUUAAAAUUUUUCAUGGUGUUCGAACGUUGUUAAAUUUCUUACGUACGUAUUAGAUAGUG
rnacentral:misc_RNA from 1 species